rnacentral:rRNA from 1 species
AACGCGAAGAACCUUACCUACCCUUGACAUCCAGAGAAGACUGUAGAGAUACGGUUGUGCCGAAAGGAACUCUGAGACAGGUGCUGCAUGGCUGUCGUCAGCUCGUGUUGUGAGAUGUUGGGUUAAGUCCCGUAACGAGCGCAACCCUUAUCUUUAGUUGCCAACAUGUAAUGGUGGGGACUCUAAAGAGACUGCUGGUGAUGAACCGGAGGAAGGCGGGGACGACGUCAAGUCAUCAUGGCCUUUAUGGGUAGGGCUACACACGUGCUACAAUGGGGCGUACAGAGGGUUGCCAACCUGCGAAGGGGAGCCAAUCUCUUAAAGCGCCUCGUAGUCCGGAUCGGAGUCUGCAACUCGACUCCGUGAAGUCGGAAUCGCUAGUAAUCGCGAAUCAGAACGUCGCGGUGAAUACGUUCCCGGGCCUUGUACACACCGGAGUA